rnacentral:tRNA from 1 species
GUGAAUAUAGUUUAACAAAAACAUUAGAUUGUGGAUCUAACAAUAAAAGCUCAAAUCUUUUUAUUUACC